CGGCGGACGGGUGAGUAACACGUGGGUAACCUGCCCAUAAGACUGGGAUAACUCCGGGAAACCGGGGCUAAUACCGGAUAACAUUUUGAACUGCAUGGUUCGAAAUUGAAAGGCGGCUUCGGCUGUCACUUAUGGAUGGACCCGCGUCGCAUUAGCUAGUUGGUGAGGUAACGGCUAACCAAGGCAACGAUGCGUAGCCGACCUGAGAGGGUGAUCGGCCACACUGGGACUGAGACACGGCCCAG
rnacentral:rRNA from 1 species